CUACGGGCGGCUCCAGUGGGGAAUAUUGCACAAUGGGGGAAACCCUGAUGCAGCAACGCCGCGUGGAGGAUGACACAUUUCGGUGCGUAAACUCCUUUUAUAGGUCAAGAUAAUGACGGUAGCCUAUGAAUAAGCGCCGGCUAACUCCGUGCCAGCAGCCGCGGUAAUACGGAGGGCGCAAGCGUUACUCGGAAUCACUGGGCGUAAAGAGCAUGUAGGCGGGUUAAUAAGUCAGAAGUGAAAUCCAAUAGCUCAACUAUUGAACUGCUUUUGAAACUGUUAACCUAGAGUGUGGGAGAGGUAGAUGGAAUUUCUGGUGUAGGGGUAAAAUCCGUAGAGAUCAGAAGGAAUACCGAUUGCGAAGGCGAUCUACUGGAACAUUAUUGACGCUGAGACGCGAAAGCGUGGGGAGCAAACAGGAUUAGAUACCCGCGUAGUC
rnacentral:rRNA from 1 species